CACGUAGGCGGAAGGGCAAGUCAGAUGUGAAACCCGGGCUUAACCGCGGGCCUGCAUUUGAUACUGCUUUUCUUGAGUACGGGAGAGGAUGGCGGAAUUCCUGGUGUAGCGGUGAAAUGCGUAGAUAUCAGGAAGAACACCGGUGGCGAAGGCGACCAUCUGGACCGAUACUGACGCUAAGGUGCGAAGGCCGGGGGAGCAAAACA
rnacentral:rRNA from 1 species